GACCCCCUGGGCCAUGAGAAAAGUUAUGAACGAAAACUUCUCCGUAACUGGAGAAACUUCCUGAAAGCUAAAGAUGCCAGCCCCAGUCAGUGGAGUGUCAGCACACUGCCACAUGGACUGCAGCAGGAUUCCAGCAGUUGCGGAGUCUUGAUUUUGAAGUUUGCAGAAAGCUACUUGCAGAUGGGAAGUCUGCUGUCAGUCAAC